rnacentral:tRNA from 1 species
GCCUUCGUAGUGUAGUGGUCAGCAUGCUCGAUGCAUAACCGAGAGGUCCGUGGUUCGAUUCCCGGUGAAGGCG